rnacentral:rRNA from 1 species
ACUCCUACGGGAGGCAGCAGUGGGGAAUCUGCGCAAUGGGCGAAAGCCUGACGCAGCAACGCCGCGUGGGGGAUGAAGGCUCUCGGGUUGUAAACCCCUUUCAGCAGGGACGAAUCAAGACGGUACCUGCAGAAGAAGCCCCGGCUAACUACGUGCCAGCAGCCGCGGUAACACGUAGGGGGCAAGCGUUGUCCGGAUUUAUUGGGCGUAAAGAGCUCGUAGGUGGCUGAGUAAGUCGGAUGUUAAAUCCCCAGGCUCAACNUGGGACACCACCCGAUACUGCUCGGCUAGAGUCCGGUAGGGGAGCGUGGAAUUCCUGGUGUAGCGGUGAAAUGCGCAGAUAUCAGGAGGAACACCAGCGGCGAAGGCGGCGCUCUGGGCCGGUACUGACACUGAGGAGCGAAAGCGUGGGUAGCAAACAGGAUUAGAUACCCUGGCAGUCCACGCCGUAAACGUUGGGCACUAGGUGUGGGGUCUAUUCAACGGACUCCGUGCCGUAGCUAACGCAUUAAGUGCCCCGCCUGGGGAGUACGGCCGCAAGGCUAAAACUCAAAGGAAUUGACGGGGGCCCGCACAAGCAGCGGAGCAUGUUGCUUAAUUCGAGGCAACGCGAAGAACCUUACCUGGGCUUGACAUGUAGAGAAAAGCCGUAGAGAUACGGUGUCCUUCGGGGUUCUACACAGGUGGUGCAUGGUUGUCGUCAGCUCGUGUCGUGAGAUGUUGGGUUAAGUCCCGCAACGAGCGCAACCCUUGUCCUAUGUUGCCAGCACGUUAUGGUGGGGACUCGUAGGAGACUGCCGGGGUCAACUCGGA